GUAAAACCUCAGACGCUGUGGGACUUACAUACAGUACCGGGCAGUUGAUUUCUUUCUGAGUCAGUGGAUUUGGAUGAGAAGAAGUAAUGGUAGCUGGGGGCCCAGCAGGGGGAGCACUUAGGAUAGACAGACUCUUAGGAGAAGUAAGGAAGAAAUCCAGGAAGAGGAAGUGUUUUUAAGUGGGGGGUGUGGCCUGUGUGAGCCUCUUUGAGACCAUACGGUUAGUCCAGGUGAGUUGAAUGGUGUGGUGUUGGAGAGUAGAGGGGGGAGAGCACAGCCUAAUCCGGCGGGGGAGAGUUUAGCUCAAAAAGGCAUCUCUCCUUGACUCUACCUCCCUCAUUCAUACUUUCUCCAACUGUUUAGGAGUCAAAACAUGUUGGAAUGAUUCUGUUUCAAAAUAAAGAACAUCACUGAGAGCCGAGAACCAUCAUGACGUGCACCUCCACAAUGACACCAAACCAAGGUCUGGAUCUUUGGGGACACCUGCAACCUCUUGCAGCAAUGAUGGAAGCCCUGCACCACCUCCACACAUGAAGAUCUUCUCUUCCCAAACAUAGACACAGUGUCUUAUAUGAUAAUAUAGUAUUUUUUUAAUGUAACACUUGUGGCCAUAACAUUGUUCAGUCUUAUCAGCUCUUCCUUGUUCCCUACACCCUCACUGUCUUAUUACACUCUCUGCCCCAUGUCAGACAUACAAUCAGAUGACUUUUGGACUCCACUGUAGCUGUAACAAAUUCUCAAUAGUUUAAAACAUUAGAGUCCAUAUUUCAUAGUCCUCAGCCAUUAUAGUUUAUAUCAAUGUGUUGUUCCAACAGCAUCACUUAUUUAGAGGGAUACUGUUACUGGAGCAAAUAAAUAUUAACUGUCUCACACAUUAGGACUGAUGAAUUAUGAUUAUACUUGUUACUAAAAAUUCUGUUGCACUGUUGAUUCAACUACUUCUUUUUAUUAAGCAAACUUACAUAUGACAGUGAAAUUCAGCUUUAACCUCAUCCACAACUAUUUUUUGAUUUUAAAUAGUUACAGUUGAUUGUUAAUUAUACACUACUGUGACGGAGGCUUAGGUUAGUAGACUGGCUUCUCUAGUUUGUAAUCGCAGAGUAUGCGUCUGUUAGAACGCAGUCUAUAAAGUUCCCCCAAGACUUUAGUGGUGAAGAAUGAAGCAGGAGACAGUCAAUCCUCUUUAUGGUGCUUUAAUGGUGUAGACAGCAUACAGAUGUGUUGAAGGUGGGUGGUUGAUGUGUGUGGGUGUAUGUGGUUCUGAAAUAAACCAAACAAUAAAGCCAUUAAUAAACAACUCACAAUAAGCUUGACUAUAGCACACAAUCCGAAGUAAUGAUAUAAUGUAACUAGAAAAUUCCAGGGAAAUUUUGAGUGCCACGGGGGCUACUGCCGGGAUGAGUACAUGAUUUAUUUCCAGUGUUCAAAAGUCACCCUGAUCAUACUCUGGUUUUGAGAAAUGUCAAACAAUGUCACAUCCCUCCAUCAUGUAUUAUGUGGGAAAUAUCUCAUAUUCUGUGUUGCUUUUUUUAAUAAAACAAGAGGCAACAUG